UUACUAAGCGGAGGAAAAGAUACUAACUAGAAUUUCCUUAGUAAGGGCGACUGAAGAGGAAAAAGCUCAAAAUGUGAAUCGGUGCUUGCACUGAAUUGUGGUCUGAAGGCAAGUGUGUUAAUAAUUUGGCAAAGUCUCUUGGAACAGAGUGGAUUAUAGGGUGAGACCCCUGUGUGCCAAGCUAUUUUUACAUUUGUCAACGAGUCGAGUUGUUUGGGAGUGCAGCUCAAAGUGGGUGGUAAAUUUUAUCUAAAGCUAAAUAUUACUGAGAAACCGAUAGCGAACAAGUACCGUGAGGGAAAGAUGCAAAGAACUUUGAAAAGAGAGUUAAAGAGUACCUGAAAUUGUCGUGAUUGAAGCAAUGGAAACCAGUGUCGUCUUUAUUCAUAUUACUCCUCCUGCUUGCGGGUGGAACACUGUGGAUAUUAGGGUUCUCGUCAUCAAUUGUGGUGCAAUAUUCCUUUCAGUAGUUUACUGAUUGAUUUUAAAGCACUGUGGUUGCUGAAUGAGUACGAAAUGGUUUUCCUUUUCCCG
rnacentral:rRNA from 1 species